rnacentral:rRNA from 1 species
AACGAACGCUGGCGGCAGGCUUAACACAUGCAAGUCGAACGCCCCGCAAGGGGAGUGGCAGACGGGUGAGUAACGCGUGGGAAUCUACCCAUCCCUACGGAACAACUCCGGGAAACUGGAGCUAAUACCGUAUACGCCCUUAGGGGGAAAGAUUUAUCGGGGAUGGAUGAGCCCGCGUUGGAUUCGCUAGUUGGUGGGGUAAAGGCCUACCAAGGCGACGAUCCAUAGCUGGUCUGAGAGGAUGAUCAGCCACAUUGGGACUGAGACACGGCCCAAACUCCUACGGGAGGCAGCAGUGGGGAAUAUUGGACAAUGGGCGCAAGCCUGAUCCAGCCAUGCCGCGUGAGUGAUGAAGGCCUUAGGGUUGUAAAGCUCUUUCGCCGAUGAAGAUAAUGACGGUAGUCGGAGAAGAAGCCCCGGCUAACUUCGUGCCAGCCGCCGCGGUAAAAC